rnacentral:tRNA from 1 species
GGGAAUGUGGCUUAGUGGUAGAGUGCUUGCCUAGCAUGUAUGAAACUCUAGGUUCGAUUCCUCAGUGCCA